GAAACUUCUUAAGGAGGACCGCGCGGGUUGCCGCGGCCGGCCCCGGGGUCGCCGUAGAGGUCGGCCCGUUGACCCCCAGAAAUUUCAGAGAGGCCAGCAGGACUGGAAGGAAGUUUUCCUUGAACCGCCAUGCCUUCAUUGGAACCCCCAUCUAUGCCGUGUGCUUUCCAUAGCACCUGUGGUUACUCUACAAAGUUUUUAAAAGACAGGAAAGUACAAAGGUUCAACUUCUGGGACCAUGAGGGACUAAGAAGUACGGGACCAUCUGCUUCUAACAGAACUGCUGAAAAAAACAUAGCAAUGCAUGAAAGGAAGAAAGGAGGAGCUGGGGGGGGGGGGGGGUGAGAUGAGAAGAGAGAACCCAGAAGCACCCAUCUGUGUUUGAUGUGAAAAUAAGCCCAAAUGGCUGACUGGAGUGGGAACAGGUUGUGUGGAGCUACUCAGUCUUUUUGAAUAAUCCGGUUAGCUGGUGACUUUGUGUAAGUCCUCCCUGGUUCUAG